GGAAACACGACACCGAAGCCGUGGACUCGCAAUGCGAGUGGUAGAGGAGCAUUCUUAAAACCGACGAAGCUGUACCGAAAGGAGCAGUGGAGGGAUAAGAAGAGAGAAUGCCGGAAUGAGUAGCGAGAGAAAGGUGGGAAUCCUUUCGGCCGAAUAUCUAAGGUUUCCAGAGUAAAGCUGAUCUGCUCUGGGUAAGUCGGGGCCUAAGCACAGGUCGCAAGACGUAAGCGAUGGAUAACAGGUUUAGAUUCCUGUACCACGCAUUAUCAGAACUGUAGGGACGCAUGUGGAAAGCACGAGCCGGGAAUGGAAAGACCGGUACAAGCGGGGUAGGUGUACAACAGGCAAAUCCGUUGUAUAAUCCGAAGACGUGAUGUGGAGCGAAAUAAAGUAGUGAAGCGUGUGAGCCAUGUGCCGAGAAAAGCUGCUAUUGUGUAAUGCGUGCCCGUACCGUAAACCGACACAGGUGGAUGAGGAGAGAAUCCUAAGGCCGACGGAAGAAGCAUUGUUAAGGAAUUCGGCAAAAUGACCCCGUAACUUCGGGAGAAGGGGUGCCUGCGAGAGCAGGCCGCAGAGAAUAGGCUCAAGCAACUGUUUAGCAAAAACACAGGUCUAUGCGAAACCGAAAGGUGAAGUAUAUGGGCUGACGCCUGCCCGGUGCUGGAAGGUUAAGAGGAGAGGUUAGCGUAAGCGAAGCUUUGAAUUUAAGCCCCAGUAAACGGCGGCCGUAACAAUAACGGUCCUAAGGUAGCGAAAUUCCUUGUCGGGUAAGUUCCGACCCGCACGAAAGGCGUAAUGAUUUGAGCACUGUCUCGACAAUGCAUCCGGUGAAAUUGAAGUACCAGUGAAGAUGCUGGUUACCCGCGCCAGGACGGAAAGACCCCAUGGAGCUUUACUCCAGUUUGAUACUGGGAUUCGGUACUGCAUGUACAGGAUAGGUGGGAGACAAAGAAGGAUGGACGCCAGUCUGUCCGGAGUCGCUGUUGGGAUACCACCCCUGUAGUACUGGGCUUCUAACCAGUUGCCAUGAACUGGCAAUGGGACAAUGUCAGGCGGGGAGUUUGACUGGGGCGGUCGCCUCCGAAAGGGUAUCGGAGGCGCUCAAAGGUUCCCUCAGAAUGGUUGGAAACCAUUUGAAGAGUGCAAAGGCAGAAGGGAGCUUGACUGCGACACCGACGGGUGGAGCAGGUACGAAAGUAGGACUUAGUGAUCCGGUGGUAUAAAGUGGGAUUGCCAUCGCUCAACGGAUAAAAGCUACCCUGGGAUAACAGGCUUAUCACUCCCAAGAGUUCACAUCGACGGAGUGGUUUGGCACCUCGAUGUCGGCUCAUCGCAUCCUGGGGCUGUAGCAGGUCCCAAGGGUUGGGCUGUUCGCCCAUUAAAGCGGUACGCGAGCUGGGUUCAGAACGUCGUGAGACAGUUCGGUCCCUAUCCGGCGCGGGCGGAGGAUAUUUGAGAGGAGCUGUCCUUAGUACGAGAGGACCGGGAUGGACGGACCACUGGUGUAUCUGUUGUCGACCAACGGCAUGGCAGAGUAGCCAAGUCUGGAAGGGAUAAACGCUGAAGGCAUCUAAGCGUGAAGCCCCCCUCAAGAUGAGAUAUCCCUCCUUCGGGAGUAAGACCCCUUGAAGACUACAAGGUAGAUAGGGCAGAGGUGGAAGCAUGGCAACAUGUGGAGCUGACUGUUACUAAUAGGUCGAGGGCUUAAC
rnacentral:rRNA from 1 species